UACAGAGGUCUCGAGCGUUGUUCGGAUUCACUGGGCGUAAAGGGUGCGUAGGCGGUCGGGUAAGUCUGAUGUGAAAUCUCACAGCUUAACUGUGAAACUGCAUUGGAUACUAUCCGGCUCGAGGAAUGGAGGGGAGACUGGAAUACUUGGUGUAGCAGUGAAAUGCGUAGAUAUCAAGUGGAACACCAGUGGCGAAGGCGAGUCUCUGGGCCGAUAUUGACGCUGAGGAGCGAAAGCGUGGGGAGCAAACAGG
rnacentral:rRNA from 1 species